AACGCACGAGACCUGCGGACCUGCGGAGGGAUCAUUAGUGAACGCCCUCACGGGCUUAUAACUAUUCCAAACCUCUGUGAACCGUGCCCUUCGGGGCUAUUUUACAAACAUGGUGUAAUGAACGUCAUAUAUCAUAACAAAACAAAACUUUUAACAAUGGAUCUCU
rnacentral:misc_RNA from 1 species